ensembl:lncRNA
CCAGUCCCCCCAGGAAGGAGCUGGUGGAUCCCAGUCCCCCCAGGAAGGAGCUGGUGGAUCCCAGUCCCCCCAGGAAGGAGCUGGUGGAUCCCAGUCCCCCCAGGAAGGAGCUGGUGGAUCCCAGCCCCCCCAGGAAGGAGCUGGUGGAUCCCAGUCCCCCCAGGAAGGAGCUGGUGGAUCCCAGAUCUCCCCAUAGAGGAGUUGGUGGAUCCCAAAUCUCCCCAGGAAGGAGCUGGUGGAUCCCAACCUCUCCAAGAAGGACCCGGCGGAUCCCAGAUCUCCCCGUGGAGGAGCUGGUGGAUCCCAGUCCCUCCAGGAAGGAGCUGGUGGAUCCCAAAUCUCCCCAGGAAGGAGCAAGUGGAUCCCAAUCCUUCUAAGGAGUGGGUGGAUCCCAAACUUCUCCAAGAAGGAGUUGAUGGAUCCCAAACCUCUCCAGGAAGGAGCUGGUGGAUCCCAAAUCUCCCCAGGAAGGAGCUGGUGGAUUCCAGCCCCUCCAGGAAGGACCUAGUGGAUCCCAGUCCCCCCAGGAAGGAGCUGGUGGAUCCCAGUCCCUCCAGGAAGGAGCUGGUGGAUCCCAACCCCUUCAAGAAGGAGCUGGUGGAUCCCAAACCUCCCCAGGAAGGAGCUGGUGGAUCCCAGCCCCCCCAGGCAGGACGUGGGGGCUCCCUGAGCCAAGUCCCGCGCUCCCCCCCCCGGGGCCGUACCUGGUUGGGGACGGCGCGCUUCUUGUUGGCCUGCGUGCUCCGCUGCUGGGCGCUGGAAGGGAAGGGCGGGAUUUGGGAUCAAGGUUUAGGAUUCAGGAUUUAGGAUUCAGGAUUUAGGAUUCAGAAGCCGGGCGUCGGCACGAGGCGCACGCUCACGACGACGACGACGUGCGAGUUAAAAGAGAGCGGAACAGCCAGCAGCUUGCACGCGCAAACAGGCACGGGGACGUCAGCACAGAGACCCACGAUCCCCUUCACUGCUGCAGUCAGUGCUCAUGGGGUGGGGGGGGGGGGGGGGGNCGGAAGCUCGUGGAUCCCAACCCCUCGGGGAGGAGCCGGUGGAUCCCACACCUCUCCGAGAAGGAGCCGGUGGAUCCCGAUCCCCCCAGGAAGAGGAAGGAGCUGCUGGAUCCCAAAGACAGCGUGGGCAGGAGGGCGGGACCCCCGGAAGCCCCCCCCGGACCCCGUGACGUUGACCCACGGCCAUCUCCCAGCCCCACAGCGCACCCUGAGCCAACGGAACCCGACACCGACAACAGCCCCGCAACACCCGGCGGCUACAGGAGCACGCUGCGCCCGCAGCCUGAAGCCCUGAGGGGGCUUGGAGGCCAGCGGGGCCGAUGGCAACGAGCAGAGCCCAAAUUUGGGGGGGGAGGAUGGGGGGGGGGGUGAGGUCCCAGCAGUGCCCCCUCUGGUGUGGGGGCAGCUCAGGCCCCUCCUUCCCUCUGUGGCCCUAUAGGAUCGCUGGGGUGUUGGGGAACCCCCAGCCUCCAGCACCCUAUAGGAUCUCUGGGGAACCCAGCCUCCAGCACCCUAUAGGAUCUCUGGGGUGUUCAGGGAAUCCCAGCCUCCAGCACCCUAUAGGAUUUCUGGGGCGUUGGGGAACCCCAGCCUCCAGCACCCUAUAGGAUCUCUGGGGACCCCAGCCUCCAGCACCCUAUAGGAUCUCUGGGGUGUUGGGGGAACCCCAACCUCCAGCACCCUAUAGGGUUUUUGGGGCGCUGGGGGAUCCCACCCUUCUCCCACCAUCUCUGGGCUCAGCUCUGCGGGGCCGGGGCUGCCGGGCUCAGUGCGGAGCGCGGACGGGACCCGGGGUUAAAGCA